AACGAACGCUGGCGGCAGGCUUAACACAUGCAAGUCGAACGAAUCCUUCGGGAUUAGUGGCAGACGGGUGAGUAACGCGUGGGAACCUACCUAUAGGUACGGAAUAACUGGGGGGAACUCUGGCUAAUACCGUAUGUGUCUCCUUUUAGUGGAUAUUUGGAGAGAAAGAUUUAUUGCCUAUGGAUGGGCCCGCGUUAGAUUAGCUAGUUGGUAAGGUAAUGGCUUACCAAGGCGACGAUCUAUAGCUGGUCUGAGAGGAUGAUCAGCCACACUGGGACUGAGACACGGCCCAG
rnacentral:rRNA from 1 species